GCAUUACGAUACCGUUAUCGGUAUGAAUAUUAUCUGUUGUUGUAUACAUACGUACGGUAGCGCAGGGCUUACUUGCGGAAGACUUGUCCGAAAAUACGUCACGUGCCGCGAACGAGCGAACCGGUGGGCCGCGUAGACGGUCCCCGGCGGCGGUACCUUACGAUAUUGGUCGCCCGCGAUCGUUUUCGUCCGGCACUGCACU